rnacentral:rRNA from 1 species
UGAACGCUAGCGACAGGCUUAACACAUGCAAGUCGAGGGGUAACAGGGUAGCAAUACCGCUGACGACCGGCGCACGGGUGAGUAACGCGUAUGCAACCUGCCUAUAACUGGGGAAUAGCUCCCUGAAAGGGGAAUUAACACCGCAUAAUACUAUUGAUUCGCAUGGAUUAGUAGUUAAAUGUAGCGAUACAGGUUAUAGAUGGGCAUGCGUGACAUUAGCUAGUUGGUGAGGUAACGGCUCACCAAGGCUACGAUGUCUAGGGGUUCUGAGAGGAAGGUCCCCCACACUGGUACUGAGACACGGACCAGACUCCUACGGGAGGCAGCAGUGAGGAAUAUUGGUCAAUGGACGAGAGUCUGAACCAGCCAAGUCGCGUGCAGGAAGAAUGUUCCCUAUGGAUUGUAAACUGCUUUUGCAGGGGAAUAAAGUGCAUCACGUGUGAUGUUUUGUAUGUACUCUGCGAAUAAGGAUCGGCUAACUCCGUGCCAGCAGCUGC